UACGGGGGGGGUAAGCGUUGUCCGGAUUUAUUGGGCGUAAAGAGCGUGUAGGCGGCUAGGUAGGUCCGUUGUGAAAACUCGAGGCUCAACCUCGAGACGCCGAUGGAAACCAUCUGGCUAGAGUCCGGAAGAGGAGAGUGGAAUUCCUGGUGUAGCGGUGAAAUGCGCAGAUAUCAGGAGGAACACCAAUGGCGAAGGCAGCUCGCUGGGACGGUACUGACGCUGAGACGCGAAAGCGUGGGGAGCAAACAGG
rnacentral:rRNA from 1 species